rnacentral:rRNA from 1 species
CCUACGGGUGGCAGCAGUGAGGAAUAUUGGGCAAUGGGCGCAAGCCUGACCCAGCAACGCCGCGUGAAGGAAGAAGGCCCUCGGGUUGUAAACUUCUUUUAUUCGGGACGAAACAAAUGACGGUACCGAAUGACUAAGCCUCGGCUAACUACGUGCCAGCAGUCGCGGGAAUACGUAGGUGGCAAGCGUUAUCCGGAUUUACUGGGUGUAAAGGGCGUGUAGGCGGGAGAGCAAGUCAGACGUGAAAUUCCAGGGCUCAACCCUGGGACAGCGUUUGAAACUGGUCGUCUUGAGUGAUGGAGAGGCAGGCGGAAUUCCGGGUGUAGCGGUGAAAUGCGUAGAUAUAGGGAAGAACACCAGUGGCGAAGGCGGCCUGCUGGACAUGAACUGACGCUGAGGCGCGAAAGCGUGGGGAGCGAACAGGAUUAGAUACCCGGGUAGUC